UUUCACUCUGGGAGACGUUUGAGACCCAGCGUCUCUAGAUCUCGUAUUUGAAUUUGUGGCGCUUGGUGUCCGCGAGUUGCCGAAUGAAGCUGAGCGUCUCAGUGGAACCAGGGAUCUCAGGGAGGGGAAGGUAUAAAAUUUUCAAAUGGAGGAGUAUACCUGAACCUAAUCAUGGAUGUGAUUUUAUAUACAGAUAAGCUGAUUCUAAAACUUACAAGAAUGGCAAAGAAACAAGAAGAGCUUAAACUGCAAUCAUCAACAGAGAAGCUUUCUGCAACCAAAGUGAAGACUGAAGCCUUAGGCUAUGGCAGAAGUUGGGCGCCUGAAGUACACGUGGAAAUAUGCCAACUGAACAUUGGACUACCACCGCCUGCCCCUGGCUCAGCGCCCGGUGCCAACAGAACACCUUUCAGGAUCCACAGCAACGCAGACAACGUAAGUACCAGCCGUUCCCUGAAACCCUUUUGCAGAUUUUUUAAAAACAACCACCUAAAACAUAG
rnacentral:lncRNA from 1 species